GGGCUGCAGCACAGCGAGGAAAGGAAGGGUGGGGUUUUCCUUGUUACGGGUAAUGACUACGCAGCUUUCUGGGAAUGCGUAUUUUGGGAAAAACACUGACACUAUUAAAAAAAAAAAAGGUGAGAUUAUGACACAGAAAGAAAUUAUCUUUACCAGGAGGAAGUAGAAAGAAAAAAAGAGGAAGUGACUAGAGCAAAGGAAGACAAAAGGAAAUUUGGCACAACAGGAAUCAGAAUCAAGAUCCUAUAUACCCAUUGCAAUGCCUGGCAUGUACUCAGAAGCUGUUUGUGAGUAAACCACACAGAAGCCAACUUGUGGAAUGCUAGGAUGAGAGGUCCAGCAGGGGUCUGAGGGAUGCCCUAUUCUGUGAUAUGCCGGAGCAAAGGGACAUAAAAUAACAGGCAGAAAACCAUAAUCCAAUAUGGGAAGUCACCCCAGAGGUGAACCUGGAGAAACCCCAGAGCAGCUCCAGAAGGCAAAUAUGGAGAUCUGGGACCCACAAACCUAAAAUUAUAAAGAAAAGAAGAGAACCAGGGGUGGCGUCAAGAUUAGAAGCUGGUUUCCUUCCAGAGCUUUGCUUCCUUUAAUGCACUCGCCCACAGUCUCCCUGCUUUCCAAAGACCAACUGCAGGCUUGACUCCUGCAGCCAUGUCAGUGCCACUGGGCCUUGGUGCUGAAUAAAUGAAACUAGAAGGCAAAAAUACAGUUCUCUGAGGACUGGGGAUGGCUGGGAGCAUCCAGCUUAGUGUCAAACUGAGGAAAUGGUGGGAUAGGAAUUGAUAUGUAAUCGAGAGAACAGAUCUCCCAUGGACACAGCUACCAUCCUGACCUGAGCCUCAUUUCAGUACUGCAGGCCUGGAUAGAGUCAGCUGACCCCAAAGCACUGUGCUGGAGAAUAGAGAACGACUGUCAUUCUAUGGUGCCUUCUGAAUAUCGCUGCAUAGACAGGAUGCACUCUUUAUAACAGCAGAAAGAGACAUAAAAGAGACAAGGGUGGGGAGAGCGAAUAUAAAAAUAUGAGAAAUUAUGCCCCUCAUCUUUAAUUUUUUUUUUUUUUGAGACAGAGUCUUGCUCUGUUGCCCAGGCUGUAGUG